UUGGUAGGGUAACGGCCUACCAAGGCAGAGACGGGUAGGGGGCGUGAGAGCGCGGACCCCCACACUGGCACUGAGAUACGGGCCAGACUCCUACGGGAGGCAGCAGUAAGGGAUAUUGCGCAAUGGGACGAAAGUCAGACGCAGCGACGCCGCGUGGGCGAUGAAGGCCUUCGGGUUGUAANAGCCCUUUUANUGGGGGAAGNAGAAAAAGGACGGUACCCCAGGAAUAAGCUUCCCGGCUAACUACGUGCCAGCAGCCGCGGUAAAACGUAGGGGACAAGCGUUAUCCGGAUUCACUGGGCGUAAAGAGCGUUGAGGCGGUUCCGUUAAGUUGGGGCGUGAAAGCUCCGGGCUUAACUCGGAGAUGUCGUUCAAUACUGCGGGGCUUGAGGACAGCAGAGGAAGGUGGAAUUCCCGGUGUAGUGGUGAAAUGCGUAGAUAUCGGGAGGAACACCCGUGGCGAAGGCGGCCUUCUGGGCUGUUCCUGACGCUGAAGGCGAAAGCUAGGGGAGCGAACGGGAUUAGAUACCCCGGUAGUCCUAGCUGUAAACGAUGGAUGCUGGGUCUGGGGGGUGUAAAUUCCCUCUGUGCCGAAGCAAACGCGUUAAGCAUCCCGCCUGGGGACUACGGCCGCAAGGCUAAAACUCAAACGAAUUGACGGGGGCCCGCACAAGCAGCGGAGCGUGUGGUUUAAUUCGAUGCUACACGAAGAACCUUACCUGGGUUUGACAUGCACGUGGUAGGGAACCGAAAGGGGACCGACCUUCGGGAGCGUGCACAGGUGCUGCAUGGCUGUCGUCAGCUCGUGCCGUGAGGUGUCGGGUUAAGUCCCGUAACGAGCGCAACCCUUGCCCUUAGUUACAAGUGUCUAAGGGGACUGCCCGGGACAACUGGGAGGAAGGUGGGGACGACGUCAAGUCAGCAUGGCCUUUAUAUCCAGGGCUACACACACGCUACAAUGGCCGGUACAAUAGGUUGCGAAGUCGUGAGGCGGAGCCAAUCCUCAAAGCCGGUCUCAGUUCGAAUUGCAGUCUGCAACUCGACUGCAUGAAGCUGGAGUUGCUAGUAAUCGCAGGUCAGCUAUACUGCGGUGAAUACGUUCCCG
rnacentral:rRNA from 1 species